AUUUCUCUACAUUAUGGGUAACAAAACCCACGUCAUUGGUCCACUUGCUAAGAAUUUCCGUGCAGAUGGCCGCUGCGUCGUCUUACAACUGCAUGGAAAUUCCACACGAAAUGCAUCCUGAAUGACCCAUCUAUCCGAUCACUCCGCUUACCUACGCGAAACGCACAUCUUCGAGCUUGUGCCCGCGUAACCACACUGCACCAUGUCCGGCUCUCUGAGCCGGUCAGUUUCGCUGAGUCCCCUCGAUCCGAGUCCUCCCAGCCAGCCGACUUCGGGAUCACCGCCAAAACUGACGAGCUUACCUAAGGACACUAGGCAACUCGCCGAUCUAACUAUAUCGCCACUGAAGAUCUUCGUGUCGGCAAAGAAACGAAUCAACGAUGUAUUCGUGGGAAUCCAGGGAUACGUUGAAGAAAGCCACGCCUUUCUUGCAGCCCUCAAUUCUGGCAUGGAAGCAUUCAAGGCUGAAGACUGUAUGGAGGUGGAUAAGUUCAAAGACAAGAUUACUGGCAUUCGUGACGUCUUGUCACGCGAUCACAUGAAGGUCGUCUUCUUUGGCAGGACCAGCAAUGGCAAGAGCACAGUAAUCAACUCCAUGCUACAGGAUAAAAUAUUGCCUAGUGGUUUGGGCCACACCACAAACUGCUUUCUUCAAGUGGAAGGAUCAGACAGCUCUGAGGCAUAUCUGCUGACCGAGGACUCGAGUGAGCCCAAGAACGUGGAGUCCGUGCGGCAACUCGCCAACGCACUAAACUCUGAGUCACUUGGUGAGAGUGCACUGGUGAGGAUCUUCUGGCCGAAGGACAGGUGCAAUCUUCUGCGUGAUGACGUAGUUCUGGUCGACAGCCCUGGCAUCGACGUGUCCCCAAAUCUUGAUUUGUGGAUUGACAAGCACUGCCUGGAUGCUGAUGUGUUUGUGCUCGUGGCCAACGCUGAAUCUACAUUGAUGGUCACAGAAAAGAACUUCUUUCACAAGGUCAGCGAACGCCUUUCCAAGCCAAACAUAUUCAUCCUGAACAAUCGCUGGGAUGCGUCAGCGUCAGAGCCGGAGAUCAUUGAGAAGGUGCGGAAACAACACCUGGAGAGAAACCUUGCAUUCUUGGUGGACGAGUUAAAAGUUGCCAACCGCCAACAAGCCGAGGACAGAGUGUUCUUUGUGUCAGCGCGGGAGGUCCUCAAUGCCAGGCUGCGCAAGCAGCAGGGUCUACCACAGCAUUCGGGUGUAGGUCUUGCCGAAGGGUUCCAGGGGAGGUACUUUGAAUUUCAAGACUUUGAGAGGAAAUUCGAGGAGUGCCUUUCCAAGUCUGCGGUAAAAACAAAGUUUGAGCAGCACACGCAAAGAGGGAAGAAGAUUACAAGCGAGUUGCGAGCCAUCAUGGACAAAGUUUACGAGCAGGCAUCGUCACUCAAGGCGGAGAAGCAGACCCUUCGGCGUGAGCAAGCGGAGAGGCUGCAGUUCACGCAGCAGCAGCUGCAGCUACUGACGGAGGAGGCGAAGCAGCGCAUUGGGCAGCUAGUGGAGCAAGUGGAGCAGCAAGUGGCUGGUGCCCUGAGCGAGGAGAUCCGCCGGCUGGAGCUGCUGGUUGGCGAGUUCGAGCGGCCCUUCCACCCGGACCCACUGGUGCUGGGCGUGUACAAGCGCGAGCUGCACGCCUAUGUCGAGCGGGGCCUCGGAUGCAACCUGCGUGCCCGCCUGUCCACUACGCUGCAAAUGUCCGUCGAGAAUGCACAGAAGGAGAUGAUCGGCCGUAUGUCAUCGCUGAUACCGUCGGAGCAGCAGCCGCAGAUGCUCAACGUUCUGCCACGACACAAUUUCGAAGUCCUGUACCGGCUCAACUGUGAGAGCCUCUGCUGUGACUUCCAGGAAGACCUACAGUUUCGCUUCUCAUUUGGCCUCGCUAACAUGAUUAAGUUUUUCACACAACACCGAAAAGUGGACCCAGCAACUGGUAGCAGCUACUCAAACAUGAUUCCGAGGCCGCAGUUGAGCACACCACAGACACCGAGCAACGAGAUCAAAGUGUUCCCGGCGGCUCCUCCAGACUACCUGGGCAUAGUGCACAAGUUGGCCGUAGUCUCCCCAACUCCCCAGACAGCUCUCGGCGUGCUCACAGUCGGAGGAUGUAUGGUUCGUGCCAUUGGGUGGAAGGUGAUUGCGGUGGCAGUGGGCACGUACGGAGCUCUCUACCUCUUUGAGCGGCUCACAUGGACUAACCGGUCGAAGGAGCGCUGCUUCAAGCGCCAGUAUGUGCAGCACGCCACUCGAAAGUUGCGUCUCAUCGUUGACCUCACCAGCGCCAACUGUUCUCAUCAAGUACAGCAGUAACUGUCGAGCACAUUUGCUCGCCUGGGGCACGUGGUGGACGAAGUGGUAAAUGAUAUGGAUACAGACAUCAAAAAGCUGGACAAGGAGAUCGCAAAGAUGGAGGAGGCCACAACCAAUGCCAGAACCUUGAGGAACAAGGCUGGUUACCUGAUGAGUGAACUAGAGACCUUCUCACAACAAUACCUCCAGUAUGAUCAGUAGAGGAUGGGGACGUCUUUUGGCACCGUUUUUUAGUCUUCCGUUGGCUCUGACAACAGCAUCUUCUCAAGUUUCUUCGAGGAGGAGACGUUGACAAGCAUGGAUAUCUUCAAGUUGCCUUUUUCUGUUUGUUGCCUCGCACAAUUUGUUGUUAAUAUAGAUGAAAUAAUUGCAGUCAAUUGACAUUUGUAUGGCAGGUAAUUCAGAAAUUUAUUAUCAUAUGCAAAUAUGCAAAUGAAAUGUGUUAGCAACACUUUUUGUGCUGAAGUUGGGAAACUUCUUGCUUCCCAGAUUGCAUGCUAGCAUUUUGUGUCGGGCACCAGAAUUAUGUUGUUUAUUUGUGCUAAAUGGCUGUGAUUUUGGACUCUGCAUUUGUUGUUUAAGCCUGCUAAGAAAAGUUCUACGAUUACCUUCGUUGCAGUAUAUGUUUUCUUAAGCAAUAUGGAUUUCUCUGUUUCUUAAAGCAUGCAUCAGUUGUUGCAGAAUGACUUGUUAUAGGUAAUUUGCUGUGCAUUCAUGAAUUGAUUCAAUGAACACUAUUUUUGUUUAGAAUAAUAAUUAUUAUUGUUUAAUAAAUAAAGCUGGCAAGCACACAUC